AUUGAACGCUGGCGGAAUGCUUUACACAUGCAAGUCGAGCGGCAGCGCGGGGGCAACCCUGGCGGCGAGCGGCGAACGGGUGAGUAACACAUCGGAACGUACCCAGUUGAGGGGGGAUAGCCCGGCGAAAGCCGGAUUAAUACCGCAUAAGUCCUGAGGGAGAAAGCGGGGGACCGCAAGGCCUCGCGCGAUUGGAGCGGCCGAUGUCGGAUUAGCUAGUUGGUGGGGUAAAGGCUCACCAAGGCGACGAUCCGUAGCUGGUCUGAGAGGAUGAUCAGCCACACUGGGACUGAGACACGGCCCAGACUCCUACGGGAGGCAGCAGUGGGGAAUUUUGGACAAUAGGCGCAAGCCUGAUCCAGCCAUUCCGCGUGAGUGAAGAAGGCCUC
rnacentral:rRNA from 1 species